rnacentral:rRNA from 1 species
UACGUAGGGACCAAGCGUUGUUCGGAUUUACUGGGCGUAAAGGGCGCGUAGGCGGCAAUUCAAGUCAGCUGUGAAAUCUCCGAGCUUAACUCGGAACGGUCAGCUGAUACUGUUUUGCUAGAGUGCAGAAAGGGCAACCGGAAUUCUUGGUGUAGCGGUGAAAUGCGUAGAUACCAAGAGGAACACCUGAGGCGAAGGCGGGUUGCUAGGCUGACACUGACGCUGAGGCGCGAAGGCUAGGGUAGCAAACGGG